AAUUUAGUGCCUGAAUAAAGGGUUAUUUUGAUAGAAUAAAUCAAGUGAAAAACCACCUAAAUUA
rnacentral:tRNA from 1 species